rnacentral:lncRNA from 1 species
GGACAGGGUCCUUCCAGACCCGAGUCCGAGGCCACCGCAGAGCAGCACGAGGCGUGGGAGCCGGGAUCUGGCUGGGGCUCCGUCUUUCUUUUCUGUCCCUAAGGCAAGCCUGAGCCCGGGCUGGGCUCCUCGUGAGCGCUGUUUCUCUCGCAGAGAGAACGUCUUGACCUGACCCUCUAGGACGGGUAGGGUUGCAGACAAGCAGGGGAGACAGCACACCGCCCUCGUCCCUGCCAGGAAGGAGCCCCCGAGCGGCUCUGAUCCUGCAUUUGCAUCAGCACCGCCGCCAGCCCUGCCGACUCCUUCCAGUUGUAGGGACCUUUGACAGACACGUGAGGCGUGAGGGAGAGUGUGUGUGGUGGGGGGUGGGGGGCAGAACAGGAGGCUCCCCGGGCAGGGCCGGAGGUCGUUGGCUGGGAAAAGGCCGGAGAUGGAAGAUGACAGUCUCGGGGCAGGGGGGUCCCUCGCUCUGGCCCCCCCGGCAUUGCGGGUGUGUGUCGAAAUGGGCACACUCUUUAGCGUGACCCGGGGCCAAGAUCAAGCAGCUCAUCACCAAGUGAAGGCUGUAUUAGAUGCAGAAAGUCCACAUCCUCCGUCUCACGCUGCCUGCGGAUUUAGCACCUAAAGGCGGGCCAGGUGGGAAACCUUCCCCUGGGCGCCCCUGUGUGUCACGUCGCGCUUCUUUUCCCUCUUUCGCUCUAUCUCCUUUCUUUUCUGCUCCCCGCUCGCACUCCCUGCGUAGGUACACGGGAGCACUUGUCCUUGGGUUUGUCUGUGUUGUCGUGUCUUGGGGUACAGCUCUUCCAGUGCCUCUGACGUGGCGGAAUGGCUUACUUUCACGUCCGAUGUGAACAGAGCCCAGGCUCGCUGCAGAGGUGAGCCAUCUCUGCGAGGGCGCAGCUCCCCACCUGGUCCUGGGGCGGGUCGUGCAGACCCCUCAGGAGAUGGAACUCGAGGGUGACCUCGCGGGGCCAGCUCGGCGCCCGUCAUGCCUCCUCUCUGGGUGGGGUUGCUCACCCCUCAAUCCCACAGCCCUGUGAGCUGUUUCUUCUUCUCAGCUUGAACCCUGAGAAGUGGCCUUGAACGUCUGAGACCACGCGUCCCCUGCCAGGUGAAGAGGAGGCCGAGAGGGAAGAGAGGGCCUGGGAUGGGGAAGAAGGGAACACGGGCUUCUGGCCGCUGGCCUCUCUCCAAGACAGGUGGACUCUGCGUUCAGAAAGGAGCUCCUUUCAUCUCUCGGCCCUAAAUGGCCGCUCUUUGCGUUUUCUCUCCUUCUCGCUUUCCCUCCUCCCUCUCCCUCGCUCCCUCCCCACCCCCACCCUGGCCUCCAAAAGAAUUUAAUCUGCUGGACAACAAACAAUACUGUUAUAAAACUUUGAAAACAAGAGGGCGAGGCCUCCCUGACAAGGAGAAGGGCAUGCCGGGUAAGAGCCCAGGGAGCCUGCCAGGGGCCGUGCUCCCCGGAGGAUGUGACCCGAGGAGAGGCUCUGCUCCCCUUCCAGAAGGGCUGGGAGAUGUGCCUGUGGCCAGGCACACCUCUGGAAAGACUCCUGGGGACAGAAACCUGCUUCUCCCACCAACAGGUGUGCGGUCCUUUGAGUGGGGCUCCCGGUGGGAUCUUGCACCUGCGAGUGACUCCUGGUGGCGGAAGGAGGGGGUGACCCAGCCCUGCCUGGGAAGAUGGGGAAGCUGGGCUCUGGGCAUCUCUCCUCCAGCGUCCAGAGUUAGACCUCACCUGAGCCUAAAGUGUCACUUCCGAGUCCAGCUUCCGGGGGUCAAGUGGAUGCUUUGAGGGACGGGCAGCAGUGUUGGUGGUUCUCCUUCAGAUCUGCCUUGCUUUGGACCCGUGAACUGCGGUGAGCGCUGUGCGUGUGUGUGCGUGUGUCUGUGCGCCCGUGGUAGACCUGGGCACACUCCCUCUCCCACUUGUGGAAAAGCACCCCCUCCCUGAGAGUAGGUCAGGGCUGUGCCCACCUUCUGCCUGGGUUCAGCCAUGCGUGAGGAGCAGGGAGGCAGCCUGGAUCCUGCCUUCACCCCCUGCCUCUUCCUCCCCUUCGCUGCCACCUCUCCUGCCGCCCUCCCAGGCCCCGCGGCAUCCCCCGGGCAGGGUACGCACGUGCCCCCUCCUGGCCAGCCGGCCAUCCCGACGAGGCCCUCUCUGCCCGUCCUGAGUCUGGGGGGUCGCGAGACCUCCAAACCCAGGUUUUUGCUGGUGGUGCGGAGGAAGGGCCCGAGGGCUCCAUGCUCCUGCCCCGAGAAGAAUCAGGAUUUUGCUGACACGGGGCCUCCGAGGAAGCCGAGGCGGUGGUGACUUUUUGCCCCGUUACCGCGACAGGCAUUUGGGGGUUUCACUGCAUCUGGAGCAUGUCAUCCCCACUUUGGGAUCCGGGGCCUGGGAAGUGUGGCGAUCCCUGGAGGCUGAGCCCCGCUUUGGGGCUGAAAGAGCCAGCUCCCCGUUCCCCCCACCCAGCCCCCUACACACAGAUCGUUCAUUUUAUCACCCUGUCCUCUGAUUCAUUAACCGCAGCUCGUUGGCAGCAGGCCCCACCCUGACAGCUCAGGACAAAGCGUGCAGGGCCCUGGGCUGGGGCUGAGUGAUACGACGCUGGGCCAGGCCUCUCUGUGCAAAGCACAAUGGUCUGGGGCGCACACAAGGGCACACCCCUGGUCCCCUUUUUCAAAAGGACCUUCUCUGGCCCCUUUCUCCCCCAGAUGACUCUUCCUCGCUACCAGGAGCCCCGAAACCAGCAUUCCCAGUGGCAGGAAGAUGGAUGACCAGGCUCCACUUCCCCGGCUCCUCCCCCACUCUGGCUGGAACUUGCGUCAGGCCCGUAAGUCGCUGUGACUCAGCACCCAGCCGGUGGGGAGGGAGGGAGAAGCUGCCGCCUCGCAGGAACCUUCCUGGCGUUCUGGAUUUGAACACACGGUGGUAGCGCAGAACCAGCCAGCAGCAUUCUGUUCUCAGAGGCCAAUAUCUGUUUGUUCUGUGGAUUUGCACACGGAUUUCACAAACAAGGGUUCACUUCCUUCUUGCUUUCCUUCUAUGUUAUUUGGGGGUGGGGGUGGCACCACGCGGGCCAUCGGAUUUUGGGGACUUGAAACGACACAGACAGCGUCGUUUCUAGGCUGCAGGAGAAGCUCUCCUUGCCAUCUAGAUUCGUGUUUAACCCCCAGAUGUUUGGUUUCCUUUUAAAAAUCGUGUCAGACUCUGCAUGCCUUUAGACAAAACAUGGCCCAUCCGGGUCACUUAUUUCUGCUGCACGUUGUUGCUGCUUCUGUGUCUUCAGCUUCCUGCCCGACCCCUCUGUGCAUUUGAACAUGUCGUGACGGGCCUGUGCCAGCCCUGCUCUUUCGGGAUGGACACUCCCAGGCCCGUUCCAGGAAAGCACAGGCCAGUCCCCGGAGCCCGGGCUGAGCAGGAGUCCAGCUUGCUGUGUUCCAACCCCCUGUGCGGGUCAGGGGGACCUUCCCUCCACCCUUGGGUCCCUGCCCAGGCGGAGCAGUGGAAACACCUCCAAAGAAAAUAUGGGCAUAGAAGUAGCCUUGGGUGACACUGUGGCCCCCAGACCCUCUUCCUGCCCAGCGGUAUCUGCAAUGCUGACAAUCCUGCCGGAGGAUCCUGCCCCUGCCUUUGCCAGCAGAGCCCUGGGGGGGCCGGGGCUGCUGCUUCCAGAUCAGGGUGACCCUCGGGGUGGGUGCCAAGAAGAGCAAGCCACUUCCAGCUGCACCUCACCACCUGGCCACAUGCAACUAGGGAACAAAUGCAGCCGCUGGUUUCGGUGAGUCACUGCUCGGCUGACUUGGAGAGAGAAGCCUGGUGCUGUUGGGGGGCUGCGACCGCAGCAGGCCCUUUUAUCCGGGGACUGGAGGGUGGAGGCUUCUGGUCCUAAGAUGCUUCCCCCCACCCCCCUUCUUUUGGAAUGUUUACAGUGAUGCAUUCUUAAUGACUUUUGUCUCUUCUUCCAGAGAACUAGGAGCAUUUUAGAACUCACGAGUAGGGCGCCCAACCUCUGGUUCCUGUCUCUAAGCUCCCUGGGCGCAGCCUCCCCUCUGGACUCAGGGCGGACGCUUCCUGGGUGGCAGGGGAGACGUGACCGGACGACCUCGGUGUGCUCUGAAGGAAAAGCAGCGUCACCAAGAGCCAGCCCAGACCGGGAGCUCUCCCAGGACAGGCUGGCUGGGCGAGCCCUGGAGGCGGCUCCAGGCCACCAGGCUUCCUUGGGGGAGGGGCUGGGGGAGGGCUGGUGUCACGGGAGAGUGGAUGCAGAGCAUCCCAGGACGAGGGAACCGCAUGUGCCAAGGCCUCGCGGUGGAGGAGGAGGCAGUCUGGAUCACCCAGCAACUCCUGGGGCCACAUCUUAGGAUAGGGUUUGUGGGGAGGGGCAGUUGGGCAUUGCCAAGGCAGGCGUUUGGCUGACGUGCCGAGCAGGAAAGCUGGGAGUGACCAAGUGCCGCUCGCCGACCCCCUCGUGUCUAUAGGAGUCAGGCCCUACCGCAAAACAGUCAUUAGCCCUCACUCCUGACCCUCAAGCCUUAGCAGUCACCUGACCCACAACCGCUCCUGCCCUGCUGAUGGCAGGGGUCCUCACUCUGAGCCCUGCAGGCAGUGCCCACCCCCAGCCCCAGUUCUCUUAUCUGUGACCAGGACCUCGCCAAACACCAGGGGCUGCAGAGCUCAGCGUGGACGUCAGGAUCCCUCAGGCGAGCAGCCCCAGCGCUGCAGGGCGCUCAUCCCAGAGGCUUGCCCACUCCUGCAGCCGCGUGGUGGAGACGGCAGAGGCGCCAGAGGUGCAGGAGAAGUACGUAUCAGAGCCCCCGGCCCUGGCAGGACCAGGCGUGCGUCCACCUCCGCGGGGGUUUAACAGGUUGUGCGGUCAGCAGGGUCCCCUUCCACGCAGAGGUAGGUAUGGUCGUGGAUUCCGCCUGCACUCAGUCCUGCUCAAAAUGAAGUUCAGGAGCAGAAUGAGGUGAUAGUCCGGCCACAGAGCAGGCGUCAGUGGGCAGGGGGCAGGAACACAGACUUUGGCCUUAGACCUGGAGCCCCACCGUUCACCAGUCAUGGGACUGUGGGCAGGUUUUUGCACAGUGCUGAGGCUCUGUCCUUCUCCUGCAGAAGUGGGAAUGAGACUUGCUCUGCCAGACUGUUGGGGGGUGUCAGGAGCACAGCUUGGUGUUCAGAUUUUAUUUCCUCCUCUUCCCUAGAGCAGUGCAUGAUGUUAUUUCCAGGAGGCAUAAAAAUACAAGCCUCUCUCUAGAGACCUAGAGAAUUAGGAGGGGAUCUGAGAGAUACAGCUUCUGUGUCUCGUCUUUCUCCUGGUUAUGGAAUCAGGAGCAAAAUGCACACAUAGCUUCUUAACUUCAAACUACUGAAAAAGGUGAUGCAGAUAGGAGGUGGGAAAUCUAAUUUGAACACCAUUUGCAAAUCUUUUAAGACAGAAUUUGAAGACAACACAGAACAAAACCUCAUUUUUUUUGUGUGUGUGUCUUUUUGCCUUUUCUAGGGCCGCACCCGCAGCAUAUGGAGAUUCACAGGCUAGGGGUCUAAUCAGAGCUGUAGCCACCGGCCUACGCCAGAGCUAUAGCAAUGCCAGAUCCAAGCCGUGUCUGUGACCUACACCACAGCUCACGGCAGUGCGGGAUCCUCAACCCACUGAGCAAGGCCGGGGAUCGAACCCGCAACCUCAUGGUUCCUAGUCGGAUCCAUUAACCACUGCGCCACGACGGGAACUCCAAAACCUCAUUCUUACAUUAGAGGGUUUUCUAUGUUAUACAGUGAUAGGACACCAGUUUUUUGUGUCACAGUAGAGUCUAAAUAAGACGGGCAGUUAGUGGGGUCAUAUCGUGGGCGCCGGCUAUGGCCGGGAAGGAUGAGCCCGUGCUCUCCCUGACCAGGGCAUGUGGAAGAGGCGCCUGGGCGCACGUGAAACUCUCCUUAGUGCGGUGGUUGUGGUGCCUUGAAGGCGGAUAACGGUGUUCCUUUCCUGAUGACGUGAGAGAACAUCGGAAAAUGCUUUGUAUUCUGUCAAAUAUCUCCCAAGGCAGAGCAACGCAAGCGUAAAUGUUGACACUGUGUAAUAAUAGCUUUCACUGUUUUAUUUCCUCUCAUGUAAUAAUAACAUAUAGGGACUGGUUGCGGAAUUGACUGAAUUAGCCUAGAGUUCCCGAGUUUUGUAUUGCGAUUGUCUGUCUCUCUGAGUUAUCAGCCAUGACUUUGCUGUUGCCUGCGUACAGCUUUGUAACUCUCCUCCGUGCCUUCACAUGGACCCACAUUUCUGCCCGGUCACGAGUGGAACUGCAAGAAGAUAGUUCUGCUCGAGACAGAGGCUGGGCCUGCCCAUCUCAUCUCCCUUCUUUCUUCAGUGAGACCCUCUUCUUCUGGAAGCUGGUUUCACAUGGUGGCUUAGAUUUUUCCAUCUUUGUAUCUAGCACCAUUUGAAAUCAGUGUUUUAGGAGUAAGAAUUGCAGCACAGCCAAAGGCCAACUGCAGAGGAGCAGCUGUUCUAGGACCAGCUCCCCCCGCCUCCUCCACCUGAGCCGGUUCAAGAAACGAAGAGCCUGAGCAGCACAGCACACGCUCGAGUGGGUCGGGCGGUGCAGGGGGACAGUGCAGGGGUGGGAAUCGUUCAAAGGAAACGCAGGGGCUUGAGCAGGGCCGGGGCUUGCGAAGGGCUUCGUGUGCACAGGUAGCAGCAGCCACCAGCCGUAAGCCGCUGGUCAGACCUGUGCGCGCGUGGGUGGGCCGUGCUGAGCUGGGUGCUCCACAGCCACAGGGACGGGAAGGCUGUGUCCCGGGAGGAUUGUCACGUCGCAGCCGCACUGUCCUCCGGCUCCUAGCUGCCGGGAACCUUCAGCUGCAGGUUCCGCACAGCUGAAAUCGGACCUGCCUCCUGCAGUGCCACGGUGCUGGACCCCACCGAGCCCCGCUGGACCCAUCUCUUACACAGGCUGACCGAUUUCUCCUGGUGUUCAGAGUCUGUUUUUGUCUAGCACCAUUUGAAAUCGGUUAUGAUGUAGGGGGAAAAGCAGCAGCUUCGAGGCCUCAUGCCAAGUCUGGUCAGCGCAGCCUGUGGCUCCUGGAAGAUGGAUGGGCAGAGAGAAGGGAAGGAAGAGCACGCUUUUUCCUACUAACUUCUUUAACUACAUCUACAGGGCUUUGCGCAGGAGUAAUAGAUCAUGGGAUGGCUUUUUGAAAACAAAUCCAUAGUAUACCUGAUGCCCUCAGUUUGCUGAAGGGUGACUGUGCUAUAAACUCUAUAGAUUGGUUGCUGUUGAAUUAUCUGUUAAAUCUGUUCAUGCAUCGUAACCUUAAUAAAUGUCCUACUAUAU